rnacentral:rRNA from 1 species
ACGUAGGAGGCGAGCGUUAUCCGGAUUUACUGGGUGUAAAGCGCGUGCAGGCGGUUCUGCAAGUGGGACGUGAAAGCGCCCGGCUCAACCGGGGGAGGACGUACCGAACUGCGGGACUAGAGGCAGGGAGAGGCGUGUGGAAUUCCGGGUGGAGUGGUGAAAUGCGUAGAGAUCCGGGGGAACACCAGUGGCGAAGGCGAUUCGCUGGGCCUACUCUGACGCUCAGACGCGACAGCAUGGGGAGCGAACGG